GACGAACGCUGGCGGUAUGCUUAACACAUGCAAGUCGAACGAGAAAGUUUUGAAUGAUCCUUCGGGUGAAAUUAGAACUGGAAAGUGGCGAACGGGUGAGUAACGCGUGGGUAACCUGCCCUAUGGAAAGGAAUAGCCUCGGGGAAACUGGAGUAAAGACCUUAUAUUAUGGUUUUGUUCGCAUGGCGAGAUCAUGAAAACUACCGGUUGCCAUAGGAUGGACCCGCGUCCCAUUAGCUAGUUGGUGAGAUAACAGCCCACCCAAGGCCGACGAUGGGUAACCGGUCCUGAGAGGGCGAACGGUCAC
rnacentral:rRNA from 1 species